GRGCGCUUGAWGGACACGCCGCGUGAUGAAGAAGGCCUUCGGGUCGUAAAAUUCUGUUGUCAGAGAAGAACGUGCGUGAGAGUAACUGUUCACGUAUUGACGGUAUCUGACCAGAAAGCCACGGCUAACUACGUGCCAGCAGCCGCGGUAAUACGUAGGUGGCRAGCGUUGUCCGGAUUUAUUGGGCGUAAAGGGAACGCAGGCGGUCUUUUAAGUCUGAUGUGAAAGCCUUCGGCUUAACCGAAGUAGUGCAUUGGAAACUGGAAGACUUGAGUGCAGAAGAGGAGAGUGGAACUCCAUGUGUAGCGGUGAAAU
rnacentral:rRNA from 1 species